rnacentral:rRNA from 1 species
AAAGGAAUUGACGGGGACCCGCACAAGCGGUGGAUGAUGUGGAUUAAUUCGAUGCAACGCGAAAAACCUUACCUGCUCUUGACAUGUACGGAAGACUUCAGAGAUGAGGUUGUGCCUUCGGGAACCGUAACACAGGUGCUGCAUGGCUGUCGUCAGCUCGUGUCGUGAGAUGUUGUCUUAAGUGACGCAACGAGCGCAACCCUUGCCACUAGUUGCCAUCAUUAAGUUGGGCACUUUAGUGGGACUGCCGGAGCUAAUCCGGAGGAAGGUGGGGAUGACGUCAAGUCCUCAUGGCCCUUAUGAGCAGGGCUUCACACGUCAUACAAUGGUAGGUAACAGAGGGACGCAAGACCGCGAGGUGGAGCAAAUCCCAUAAACCCUAUCGUAGUCCGGAUCGUAGUCUGCAACUCGACUACGUGAAGUCGGAAUCGCUAGUAAUCGCGGAUCAGAAUGUCGCGGUGAAUACGUUCCCGGGUCUUGUACACACCGCCCGU